rnacentral:lncRNA from 1 species
CCUGACCUAACUACUGCCAAUCCUCCUGUUUUUUUUUGCUGAGGAAGACUGGCCCUGAGCUAACAUUCAUGCCCAUCUUCCUCUACUUUAUAUGUAGGAUGCCUCCCACAGCAUGGCUUGCCAAGCAGUGCCAUGUCCGCACCCGGGAUCCGAACCAGCAAACCCCAGGCCGCCGAAGUGGAACAUGCGAACUUAACUGCUGCGCCACCAGGCUGGCCCCCCAGCCCUGCGGGUCAGACGUCCGGGCCCGACAUAGCAGGCCCUCUGCUCAAGCCG